rnacentral:lncRNA from 1 species
AGAGCAUCGGGACAACAGUCCUCCUCUAACCGGAGGGCCCAGGUGUGUCAGAGAGGCCGGGUGGGGUGGGGUCUGAGGGCAUGUGGGACAGUGUGGGACAAUCCUGAGAUGGCCCCUCCCAGCUGGGAAGCCACCCAGGGCUCCAGGGGUUCAGCCAUCAGUGUGCUCACUGGGCUGUGCUGACCUCCAGGACCCAGGGUCAUCAAGAGCCAGGGCCUCCACCCCCUGGUGUCUGUGGCCCAGGCAGGGCUGACUCAGCCGCCCUCAGUGACCAAGUCCCCAGGACAGACGGCCACACUCACCUGCACUGGAAAGAGCAAAAAUGUAGGCCAUGAGGGAGAAGCAUGGCUGCAGCAGCAACCCCAAGGCCAUGUCCCCACACUCCUGACCAGCAGGAAUAACAUCUGGGCCUCUGGGGUCUCCGAGAGAUUCUCUGGCUCCAG